rnacentral:misc_RNA from 1 species
GAUGAAGAACGUAGCGAAAUGCGAUAAGUAGUGUGAAUUGCAGAAUUCAGUGAAUCAUCGAAUCUUUGAACGCACAUUGCGCCCCUUGGUAUUCCAUGGGGCAUGCCUGUUCGAGCGUCAUUACAACCCUCAGGCCCCCGGGCCUGGCGUUGGGGAUCGGCGGAAGCCCCCUGCGGGCACAACGCCGUCCCCCAAAUACAGUGGCGGUCCCGCCGCAGCUUCCAUUGCGUAGUAGCUAACACCUCGCAACUGGAGAGCGGCGCGGCCACGCCGUAAAACACCCAACUUCUGAAUGUUGACCUCGAAUCAGGUAGGAAUACCCGCUGAACUUAAGCAUAUCAAUAAGCGGAGGA